rnacentral:rRNA from 1 species
GACGAACGCUGGCGGCGUGCUUAACACAUGCAAGUCGAACGGAAAGUCCCUGCUUUUUUGUGUUGCUCUAGUGGCGAACUGGUGAGUAACACGUUUUUAACCUUCCCUUUACUUUUUUAUAACUUCAUGAAACUGGUGCUAAUACCGUAUAGUAGCUCCUGCUUCAUUGUGUUGUUUGGAAAUUUUCGGAGGUUGGGGAUGGACUCGCGGCUUAUCAGCUUGUUGGUGGGGUAGUGGCUUACCAAGGCUUUGACGGGUAGCCGGCCUGAGAGGGUGACCGGACAAAUUGGGACUGAGAUAAGGACCAGAAUCCUACGGGAGGCAGCAGUGGGGAAUAUUGCACAAUGGGCGGAAGCCUGAUGAAGCAACGCCGCGUGAGGGAUGAGGGCCUUCGGGUUGUAAACCGCUUUCGCAUGUGACGAAGCGUGAGUGACGGUAAUGGGUAAAGAAGCACCGGCUAACUACGUG